AUAUCUAUUGAAAUCGAGGCUCCUACCCAGAUAUCUUUAGUGGAUGAAGCAUCAGGAGAGGUUUUUAUCUCAGGGCAAUAAUGGAACUAUCUUGUACACAGGAGACUUCAGAUUGGUGCAAGGAGAAGCUGCUAGAAUGGAGCUUCUGCACUCCGGGGGCAGAGUCAAAGACAUCCAAAGUGUAUAUUUAGAUACUAUGUUGUGUGAUCCAAGAUUUUACCAAAUUCCAAGUCAGGAGGAGUGUUUACGUGGAGUCUUAGAGCUGGUUCAAAGCUGGAUCACUCAGAGCCUGUACCAUGUUGUGUGGCUGAACUGCAAAGCGGCUUAUGGCUAUGAAUAUUUGUUCACCAACCUUAGUGAAGAAUUAGGAGUCCAGCUCACCUUUCCUCCCCCUCCUCGCCUGUUAAAUAACUGCAAACAGGGACAGAUGGAAGCACCCUAUCAAGACGUGUCUGCAGCAGUGGUUGGCGGGCCCUCUGAAGGAAUAUAUCAUCUUAGUUCAGUCACAUCCUCCUGGGAGAAAAUUGACAGAAGCCAAAAUGGCUGACAAGAGCCUUCAGUGAAAUGCCCCAUAGACAAAGUAUUUUUCCCAAACUUUGGGUCAUGAAAUAAAUUUAGCGAUUGUGACCAGCAUUGAAAAUAAAUUUGAACAAGGAGAUAUGGGAGUGGAUUAUUUGCAGUACAUGCUCCUCUGUUGCAUGUCAUGUAU
ensembl:lincRNA